GACGAACCGUGCGAACGUUAUUCGGAAUUACUGGGCGUAAAGCGUGCGUAGGUGGUGCGUUAAGUCUGUCGUGAAAGCCCCGGGCUCAACCUGGGAAUGGCGAUGGAUACUGGCGCGCUAGAGUGCGGUAGAGGAGAGUGGAAUUCCCGGUGUAGCAGUGAAAUGCGUAGAGAUCGGGAGGAACAUCAGUUGCGAAGGCGGCUCUCUGGACCAGCACUGACACUGAGGCACGAAAGCGUGGGGAGCAAACAGG
rnacentral:rRNA from 1 species